GACGAACGCUGGCGGCGUGCUUAACACAUGCAAGUCGAACGGAAAGGCCCUGCUUUUGUGGGGUGCUCGAGUGGCGAACGGGUGAGUAACACGUGAGUAACCUGCCCUUGACUUUGGGAUAACUUCAGGAAACUGGGGCUAAUACCGGAUAGGAGCUCCUGCUGCAUGGUGGGGGUUGGAAAGUUUCGGCGGUUGGGGAUGGACUCGCGGCUUAUCAGCUUGUUGGUGGGGUAGUGGCCUACCAAGGCUUUGACGGGUAGCCGGCCUGAGAGGGUGACCGGCCACAUUGGGACUGAGAUACGGCCCAGAAUCCUACGGGAGGCAGCAGUGGGGAAUAUUGCACAAUGGGCGGAAGCCUGAUGCAGCAACGCCGCGUGCGGGAUGACGGCCUUCGGGUUGUAAACCGCUUUCGCCUGUGACGAAGCGUGAGUGACGGUAAUGGGUAAAGAAGCACCGGCUAACUACGUG
rnacentral:rRNA from 1 species